rfam:Setaria italica strain Yugu1 chromosome VIII, whole genome shotgun sequence.
CCGACCUUAGCUCAGUUGGUAGAGCGGAGGACUGUAGUGCGUUGCAGAUUAAAUCCUUAGGUCGCUGGUUCGAAUCCGGCAGGUCGGA